rnacentral:lncRNA from 1 species
CCAUUAUAUACUAAAUCUUUUGCUCAAAUCUGUAAAUAGACUUUACCCAGCCAGUAUGCUAAGAAAUAUCUUGGUGAGGAGCCACGCCUGUAUCUUCAGUUGCUUGGAGAGAAGUGGGAGGUGGGGUUUCCUGACAACACCGGCGAUAGAAGGAUCGUAAGUGGAUGGAAACAGUUUGUACAAGAUAACAAUCUGAAGAUGGGUGAUAUCUGCCUCUUCGAGCUGCUGAGCAAUCAGAAGAGAACUAUGGAGGUCUAUAUCAUCCCUGCAAAUGAAUACAAUUACUCGGCAGGUGUCCAGAAUAAUGUGGACCAGGAAACGCUCGAAGGUGGUUCAGCGGCGCUGCAGAGAGAGGCCCUUGCUCAUCAUGCGGAUGGAGCGCGUGAUCCUGACUCAAGGUUGCUUCGCAUCACCAACACUGAUGCUAUGGAAGAUGAUGUUACCUCUGUUGGUGCCUGAUCGCCGAAGGAAAAGCCUGUGGUUUCUGAACCAAGCAUACCUGCUGUUCUUGCGCUCUGGGGAAAACAAGCGUUCACAUCGAUCAUAAGGGCUCGGUUACAUUGUCGAAAGUUGAAACUGUUCUGCUACCUGCGUAUUUUCUUCGUUCUGGUAGCAGGCCAGUCAUGCACGCGGACUGGAACUCCCCUAGCUGUAGUUUUAGCUGCUUUUUAGUUUCCUUUUUGCACCUCUGGAUGCUGCUUUUGUGGUCGCGGUUUAUUUCGUUAUCGUGAUGAUAGUGGAGUCCGGUCCUAUGCGGCCCUUUGGAAAAGAAAAAAAAGAACGCCAAUUGAAUGAUAUGCUUUCAUGUUGGUUCGUGAAUUCCCUGGUCUGAUGGAGGUAGACUGGUAACGCUUUCAUGUUGGUGGUAGUGCUUUUGUUGUUGGUUCGUGAAUCGCUAGCAAUGGUAACCACUAACCACAGGAG